rnacentral:rRNA from 1 species
AACGAACGCUGGCGGCAGGCCUAACACAUGCAAGUCGAACGAUCCUUCGGGAUAGUGGCGCACGGGUGAGUAACACGUGGGAAUGUACCUUUUAGUGGGGGAUAACAGUUGGAAACGACUGCUAAUACCGCAAACGUCCUUCGGGAGAAAGAUUUAUCGCUAAAAGAUCAGCCCGCGUCUGAUUAGCUAGUUGGUGAGGUAACGGCUCACCAAGGCGACGAUCAGUAGCUGGUCUAAGAGGACGACCAGCCACACUGGAACUGAGACACGGUCCAGACUCCUACGGGAGGCAGCAGUGGGGAAUACUGGACAAUGGGCGAAAGCCUGAUCAGCCAUGCCGCGUGAGUGAUGAAGGCCUUCGGGUUGUAAAGCUCUUUAGCAGGGGAAGAUAGUGACGGUACCCUGAGAAUAAGCCCCGGCUAACUCUGUGCCAGCCGCCGCCGUAA